rnacentral:rRNA from 1 species
GAUGAACGCUGGCGGCGUGCCUAAUACAUGCAAGUCGAGCGAACAGACGAGGAGCUUGCUCCUCUGACGUUAGCGGCGGACGGGUGAGUAACACGUGGAUAACCUACCUAUAAGACUGGGAUAACUUCGGGAAACCGGAGCUAAUACCGGAUAAUAUAUUGAACCGCAUGGUUCAAUAGUGAAAGACGGUUUUGCUGUCACUUAUAGAUGGAUCCGCGCCGCAUUAGCUAGUUGGUAAGGUAACGGCUUACCAAGGCAACGAUGCGUAGCCGACCUGAGAGGGGGACGGGCCACACUGGAACUGAGACACGGCCCAGACCCCUAGGGGAGGCAGAAGUGGGGAAUCUUCCGCAAUGGGCGAAAGCCUGACGGAGCAACGCCGGGUGGGUGAUGAAGGUUUUCGGAUUGUAAAACUCUUUUAUUAGGGAAGAAAAAAUGUGAAAGUAACUAUGCACGUUUUGACGGUACCUAAUCAGAAAGCCACGGCUAACUACGU